ACGGAAGGCAGCAGUGGGGAAUAUUGGGCAAUGGGCGAAAGCCUGACCCAGCAACGCCGCGUGGAGGAAGAAGGUUUUCGGAUCGUAAACUCCUGUCCUUGGUGAAGAGGAGAAGACGGUAGCCAAGGAGGAAGCCCCGGCUAACUACGUGCCAGCAGCCGCGGUAAUACGUAGGGGGCAAGCGUUAUCCGGAUUUACUGGGUGUAAAGGGAGCGUAGACGGCUUUGCAAGUCUGAAGUGAAAGCCCGGGGCUCAACCCCGGAACUGCUUUGGAAACUGUAGAGCUAGAGUGCAGGAGAGGUAAGUGGAAUUCCUAGUGUAGCGGUGAAAUGCGUAGAUAUUAGGAGGAACACCAGUGGCGAAGGCGGCUUACUGGACUGUAACUGACGUUGAGGCUCGAAGGCGUGGGGAGCAAACAGGAUUAGAUACCCUGGUA
rnacentral:rRNA from 1 species